CUGGGAACGCUUGCAGUGCGCGAUGGCGCCCUGGAUGGCGCCCUCCUCGGACGACCCGGCGCUGCUGCUCCGCUUCAGCGCCGGCGUCGCCCCCGCCGCCGACGCCGGCGUCCGGAAGAAGAACCCGUUUGCGUUGCGGCACGACGGCGUGGACGACGAGGAGGACGAGGACGAGGAGGAGCACAGCGGCGAGGUCCCAGGCGCCUUGGUCGCCACGAGGCGCACCCGGCGGAUGAUGCCGGAGAAGGACUUGCGGUGCUGGCACUGGCACACCUCCUCCUGCUCUAGGACGCUCCCCCUCGCGCUGACGCUGCCGAUGCCGUGGCCGCUGGCGCUGGCGCCACCGGCGGCGGCGACGAUGUCGCUCGGCAACGGCGGCCUGGCCAGGAAGAGCGACCGGAUGUACUCCUUCGACGCCCACCGCUUAACCACCUUGAGCUUCUUGGCCCAAGACGGCUUCUUGGCGGC
rnacentral:misc_RNA from 1 species